ensembl:lncRNA
GCCGGGGCAGGUGCGGGCCGCGCUCUGCGGCAGCUUCCCUCGGGGCCCGAGUGCCGCGCCGAGCGGGGCCCCUCAUCCAGCGCUCUUUGUGGCGCCGGAGCGUCUUCAGAAGUGGGUUGUUUUUUUUUUUUUUUUUGAGCCGCCAGUUUGGGAAUGGCAGGGAACGUCACCGUGAACUGUGAGAGAAGGGGAGCGCAGGGGCUGCGGAAAGAGCGAAGCUUGUCUGACACAGGCGUUGGGUUCAGGACGCUGAGUUGUUUCCAGAUACGGGCCCCGUGGAGGACAGUGCUUGAAAACCCACCUUUUUUUUUUGCAGCCUUUUAGCAGUUCCGUGCAGAGAGCAGGUCAGGAGCUGUCAGAGAUCAUCCCUCAGAGCCCAGGGUGGGGGGUUGCCCACAUACGGCUUUGAGUGACAGCCUGGAUCUCCGUUCUGGUAACGGCACCCACGGCAGUGAGACCAGGCCGGUGUCAUGCAGUGCUGAGCAGGUGGCAGAGGCCGGGUCCUCACAGCCGGCCGGGAGCCUCCUUCACCAAGGGAACAGGAGCCCGCUGCCUGCUGCUGAUACAUGGAGCAUGAAGCUGUGAGCAAUGCUCACUGGAGGAGACCGAGCAUGGAAUGGUUUGGGUUGGAAGGGACCUAGCUUGCCUCGCGUUUAGACAUCAGCAGGGGAUCAGAUUCCGCUCCUGCAGACAGCAGAUGCAGCAGUUUGGCUGAGCUUCCCUGGCUGCUAGGGCAUUUCGUCAAGCAUGAGUUCCCUCAGUUUUCAGAGAGGAAGUUUUCCAACUGAGCCUUGAAGGAACACUGCACUCAUCAGUAUCCCCCACUGCCCUCCUGUGUGACCUGCGAGCAGCGAGGGAGGGACUGAUCGCUUGAGACCUCAUGUCAAUCUGAGAAGCCUCUGAAUAUCUUCAUUUUCUUUUCGACAAAAAAUAUUUGACCCACUUAAAAUGAGUCUUGUUUACCUGCAUGAAUAGAUUUACUAAUGUUAGCAGGAGUAAGAUGAGCAGACUGGCACUAUUCACAGUGCUAUGCAUCUGAAAUUUUGCAUACAUUAGAAGUUCCUCAGAAGGAAUUCUUUUUCCAUAAGGAAAAGGAAAACCAUAUAUACCAUGGAUGGCAGCAGAAACCAACACGAAAUAAUUACUCCUAUGACAGAAUGAGGAGCAUACAGAACGACCUGCAGGAUCUGGACAUACAUUGCAAGGAGAGGAGCUGCACAGCUCCAACUGGUGCACUGAGUUGUCAGAGCACUGCUGCUGGUACUUGGGGCUUCUAAAGGUAUGGUCUGUCAGCAAGAUUUUGAGUCCCUAUUUGGAUGCAAUCAAGCUGGAUUUUCAUCUCUAGCAAGCUGUGUUAAUGUACCUGACGUUCUCUUGAGGCUGGCCCUAAGAUUUGUAGCUUGUAAUUUCUGUUUCUAGGCUCAUCCUUUCUGUGGUCCUCAAAAUCAGGGAAGGAAAUCCCUUUUUAAUUUUGUUGCCAGUAAGGUCCCUUGAGCCAAUUGAUCUUAUUCAGGACUUCAGCCAUACUUUGCCCAAGAAUGCAAGGAAACUUCCUGGAUCAGAUGUGAGAUGGAAAUACAAGUGAAAUCUGGAUAAAUUUUGCUUGAUGUCUGAUGCUCUUUUUCAUACCUAGCAGCUAGGAUGUGCGGCCCAGUGAACACACUCAAACCAGAAGAUGCAUUACCAAGCCAGGAGUUCUCAGCUGUUUCUAACAACUCCUAAACCCCAAGGUACAAUCCCAAGGAGCAGAUCCAGAGAGGCAGCAGGGUCAGGCUUGGCAAAGCCAACACUGGGCAGGAGGCGCAAGCUCAUGAGAGCUGCUGCGCUGAGCCAGGCAACGGGGACGUGGCUCUGCUGCUCCCCUCUCCUUGGAGACCUCCAGAACUGGGGAUGGCAAACAGUGGCUGACAGCAGUGAG